rnacentral:rRNA from 1 species
GACGUAGGGGGCAAGCGUUGUCCGGAAUCAUUGGGCGUAAAGCGCGUGUAGGCGGCCCGGUAAGUCCGCUGUGAAAGUCGGGGGCUCAACCCUCGAAUGCCGGUGGAUACUGUCGGGCUAGAGUGCGGGAGAGGCGAGUGGAAUUCCUGGUGUAGCGGUGAAAUGCGCAGAUAUCAGGAGGAACACCAAUUGCGAAGGCAGCUCGCUGGAACGUAACUGACGCUGAGACGCGAAAGCGUGGGGAGCAAACAGG